AUGGUGUCGACAUGGACGAUCGGCCCAGUGUGUUCUGUGGUCUACGGACCACCAAUAGAUCACCUGCAGCUCUCUGAUGGCAGAUCCUUCCCAACAUACUUGGGCACCGCAAACAUUAGGAGAGGGAACCCACUGUGUGGAUACACUCUACAACAGAGUCACAAAGGGAAGGUCAGUACAACCAGGUGGUUAAAUGCUACCCAGCCAGGGCCUUGGGGUUUCAUUUGGGGUGUGAACUUAACAAGACAAAAGAGAAAUACAGAGGAAAUAAAGGAUGACGAGUGGAGACAGAGAGAGAGAGACACAGAGAGAGAGACACAGAGAGAGACAGAGCGAGACAGAGAGAGAGACACAGAGAGAGACAGAGCGAGACAGAGAGAGAGACACAGAGAGAGACAGAGCGAGUCAGAGAGAGAGACACCGAGAGAGACACCGAGAGAGACACCGAGAGAGACAGAGCGAGAGACACCGAGAGAGACAGAGCGAGAGACAGAGCGAGAGACACCGAGAGAGACAGAGCGAGAGACAGAGCGAGAGACAGAGCGAGAGACAGAGCGAGACACAGAGCGAGAGACAGAGCGAGAGACACCGAGAGAGACAGAGCGAGAGACAGAGCGAGAGACAGAGAGACACAGAGAGAGAGACACAGAGAGAGACAGAGAGAGACACAGAGAGAGAGACACAGAGAGAGAGAGACAGACAGAGACACACACAGAGAGAGAGAGACAGACAGAGACACACAGAGAGAGAGAGACAGACAGAGAGACACAGAGAGAGAGAGACAGACAGAGAGACACAGAGAGAGAGACACAGAGAGAGACAGAGCGAGACAGAGAGAGAGACACAGAGAGAGACAGAGCGAAACAGAGAGAGAGACACAGAGAGAGACAGAGCGAGUCAGAGAGAGAGACACCGAGAGAGACACCGAGAGAGACAGAGCGAGAGACACCGAGAGAGACAGAGCGAGAGACAGAGCGAGAGACACCGAGAGAGACAGAGCGAGAGACACCGAGAGAGACAGAGCGAGAGACAGAGAGAGACACAGAGAGAGACAGAGCGAGAGACACCGAGAGAGACAGAGCGAGAGACAGAGAGAGACACAGAGAGAGAGACAGAGAGAGAGACACAGAGAGAGAGACACAGAGAGAGAGACAGACAGAGACACACACAGAGAGAGAGAGACAGACAGAGAGACACAGAGAGAGAGACACAGAGAGAGAGAGAGACAGACAGACAGACAGACAGACAGACAGACAGACAGACAGACAGACAGACAGACAGACAGACAGACAGACAGACAGACAGACAGACAGACAGACAGACAGACAGACAGACAGAGCAGGAGAGGAGAGAGAGAGAGAGAGAAGGAGAGUUGAGAAACAGAAUGGAGGAAAAAGAUAA
rnacentral:lncRNA from 1 species